AAACCCAAAGCCCAGGCGACAGGGACGAAAACAGUGAGCUGAAAAUCGAUGCUGGUUGCCCGAGCGAUAGACCCGACACCCGGGCGACGGACGCUCGUAGCCUAGGCGCUCAAAACUGGUGCCCAACUCUUACAGAUUCCUCAAUUCACGCCCGGGCGAGCUCCCUACGAUGCUUGAGCGAGAUUUGACGUGGAUUGGGCCCUGUUUCUACUCUGAUUUGAUUCUUUUGGACUGGGCCACACUUUGGGACGCGUCUGGCGCUAUUUAAAGGACACUGGGGCUCUAGGUUUUGCAUCCCUGGC
rnacentral:lncRNA from 1 species